CUGAUUGGAUGCGAGGGCCUCACCGCCUAUCAAAUCCAGACAAACUCCGAAUGCUAUAAAAUAUACUCGGGAGUGAGGCGUUGGGUGCUAAGGUCCAGCGCCGAGAGGGAAAGAACCCAGACCAUCAGCUAAGGUCCCUAAAUCUAUACUAAGUUGAUCUAACGAGGUCUGAUUGCAUUGACAGCUAGGAUGUUGGCUUGGAAGCAGCCAUUCAUUUAAAGAGUGCGUAACAGCUCACUAGUCGAGCGAUCGGGCGUGGAUAAUACUCGGGCAUCAAGUAUAGUACCGAAGCUAUGGAUUAAAUAGUAAUAUUUACUGGUAGGGGAGCAUUCCAGUCUGCGUCGAAGGUGUGUCGUAAGGCAUGCUGGAGCGUCUGGAAAAGCAAAUGUAGGCAUAAGUAACGAUAAUGCGGGUGGGAAACCCGCACACCGAAAGACCAAGGAUUCCUGAUCAACGCUAAUCGGAUCAGGGUUAGUCGGGGCCUAAGUCGAACCCGAACGGGGUAGACGAUGGACAACAUGUUAAUAUUCAUGUACCAGCACGACUGCGAUGGGGUGGAGGAGGUGUGAAAGGACCGCGAACUGACGGAAUAGUUCGUUGAAGGGUGUAGAUAUAUCUGGAGUAGGCAAAUCCGCUCCGGAUGUCGAACCUGAUAGUACCGCGAGCUCUCGGGCAAGCGGAUAGUGUCCCUAAUCAGACUCACAAGAAAAACCCCUAAGCUUCAGGUUAGUGCUGCCCGUACCGGAAACCAACACAGGUGGUCGAGGAGAGUAUCCAAAGGUGCUCGAGUGAAUCAUGGCUAAGGAACUAGGCAAAUUAGUCCUGUAACUUCGGAAUAAAGGACCCCGUCUUUGACGGGCGCAGAGAAAUGGCCCAGGCGACUGUUUAUCAAAAACACAUGGCUUUGCUAAAUCGAAAGAUGACGUAUAAGGCCUGACACCUGCCCGGUGCUGGAAGGUUAAGAGGAGAGGUCAUAUGGAGCAAUCUGUAGAAGCUUUGAAUUGAAGCCCCAGUAAACGGCGGCCGUAACUAUAACGGUCCUAAGGUAGCGAAAUUCCUUGUCGGGUAAGUUCCGACCUGCACGAAUGGUGUAACGAUCUGAGCACUGUCUCGGCCACGAGCUCGGUGAAAUUGUAGUUUCGGUGAAGAUGCCGGAUACCCGCAGCGGGACGAAAAGACCCCGUGCACCUUUACUAUAGCUUCACAUUGACAUCGGCUGCCCGAUGUGUAGGAUAGGUGGGAGACUUUGAAGCGGUGUCGCUAGGCAUCGUGGAGUCA
rnacentral:rRNA from 1 species